GAAAGUAAAAAAGGAGCAAAAGAAGAGACGCCAUUCCGAGGCUUUAAACCUGUUAACAUUGGGUGAUUAAACAGCCACAUAUUUAGUGGCAAGAUACGGAGGAGAAGACACAGGAACAUCCUCCUGAAAUGCCUGAGGAAAGGAAGAAGGCAGGGUGGGGAAUACUAGAAUUAGUAGUGUUAGUAGCAGUAGCAGUAACAGCAGCAGCAUUUAUAAUAGCAGGAGCAGCAGAAGUAUAUACAAUAGCAGCAGCAACAGCAGCAGGAGCAACAGCAAAAGCUGUAAAAGCAGCAAUAGA